rnacentral:rRNA from 1 species
UGGGGAAUAUUGCACAAUGGGCGAAAGCCUGAUGCAGCGACGCCGCGUGGGGGAUGACGGCCUUCGGGUUGUAAACCCCUUUCAGCAGGGAAGAAGCGAAAGUGACGGUACCUGCAGAAGAAGCACCGGCUAACUACGUGCCAGCAGCCGCGGUAAUACGUAGGGUGCGAGCGUUGUCCGGAAUUAUUGGGCGUAAAGAGCUUGUAGGCGGUCUGUCGCGUCUGCUGUGAAAAUCCGGGGCUCAACCCCGGACUUGCAGUGGGUACGGGCAGACUAGAGUGUGGUAGGGGAGACUGGAAUUCCUGGUGUAGCGGUGAAAUGCGCAGAUAUCAGGAGGAACACCGAUGGCGAAGGCAGGUCUCUGGGCCACUACUGACGCUGAGAAGCGAAAGCAUGGGGAGCGAACA